AUUGAACGCUGGCGGCAUGCCUUACACAUGCAAGUCGAACGGCAGCGGGGACUUCGGUCCGCCGGCGAGUGGCGAACGGGUGAGUAAUGUAUCGGAACGUACCUUUCAGUGGGGGAUAACGUAGCGAAAGUUACGCUAAUACCGCAUAUCCUGUGCGCAGGAAAGCAGGGGAUCGCAAGACCUUGCGCUGAUUGAGCGGCCGAUAUCAGAUUAGCUAGUUGGUGGGGUAAAGGCCUACCAAGGCGACGAUCUGUAGCGGGUCUGAGAGGAUGAUCCGCCACACUGGAACUGAGACACGGUCCAGACUCCUGCGGGAGGCAGCAGUGGGGAAUUUUGGACAAUGGGGGGCAACCCUGAUCCAGCCAUGCCGCGUGAGUGAAGAAGGCCUGGUGU
rnacentral:rRNA from 1 species